GACGAACGCUGGCGGCGUGCUUAACACAUGCAAGUCGAACGGAAAGGCCCUGCUUUUGUGGGGUGCUCGAGUGGCGAACGGGUGAGUAACACGUGAGUAACCUGCCCUUGACUUUGGGAUAACUUCAGGAAACGGGGGCUAAUACCGGAUAGGAGCUCCUGCUGCAUGGCGGGGGUUGGAAAGGUGCGGCGGUUGGGGAUGGACUUGCGGCUUAUCAGUUUGUUGGUGGGGUUGUGGCUUACCAAGGCUUUGACGGGUAGCCGGCCUGGGAGGGUGACCGGCCACAUUGGGACUGGGAUACGGCCCAGACUCCUACGGGAGGCAGCGGUGGGGAAUAUUGCACAAUGGGCGGAAGCCUGAUGCAGCAACUCCGCGUGCGGGAUGACGGCCUUCGGGUUGUAAACCGCUUUCGCCUGUGACGAAGCGUGAGUGACGGUAAUGGGUAAAGAAGCACCGGCUAACUACGUG
rnacentral:rRNA from 1 species